AGCGAACGCUGGCGGCAGGCUUAACACAUGCAAGUCGAACGCUCGUAGCAAUACGGGAGUGGCAGACGGGUGAGUAACGCGUGGGAAUAUGCCUUUUGGUUCGGAAUAACUCAGGGAAACUUGAGCGAAUACCGGAUAAGCCCGUGAGGGGAAAGAUUUAUCGCCAAAAGAUUAGCCCGCGUCCGAUUAGCUAGUUGGUGAGGUAAUGGCGCACCAAGGCGACGAUCGGUAGCUGGUCUGAGAGGAUGAUCAGCCACAUUGGGACUGAGACACGGCCCAAACUCCUACGGGAGGCAGCAGUGGGGAAUAUUGGACAAUGGGCGCAAGCCUGAUCCAGCCAUGCCGCGUGAGUGAUGAAGGCCUUAGGGUUGUAAAGCUCUUUUGUCCGGGAAGAUAAUGACGGUACCGGAAGAAUAAGCCCCGGCUAACUUCGUGCCAGCAGCCGCAGUAA
rnacentral:rRNA from 1 species